UACGUAGGGGGCAAGCGUUGUCCGGAUUUAUUGGGCGUAAAGAGCGUGUAGGCGGCUUUACAGGUCCGUUGUGAAAACUCGAGGCUCAACCUCGAGACGCCGGUGGAAACCGUAAAGCUAGAGUCCGGAAGAGGUGAGUGGAAUUCCCAGUGUAGCGGUGAAAUUCGUAGAUAUUAGGAAGAACACCAGUGGCGAAGGCGGCUCACUGGUCCGGUACUGACGCUGAGGUGCGAAAGCGUGGGGAGCAAACAGG
rnacentral:rRNA from 1 species